rnacentral:lncRNA from 1 species
GGUUGGUAAAAACUUCCAUCAUCAUGCAUAUAUAUGACACUAACCAAUAGUGAUGGACCGUGACAGACCCUCAUGGAAAGUAAAGGAGGUUUUAACACUCCCUGGUGGUACAUGUAGCCAACAAUAGCAAUGGCAGCAUAGAAACUCUUAUUAUAUCCAAAUUCUUAUUUCAAAUGAAUAAUUAUCCAAGGUGAAUCAGAUGAUGUAUGAUCAUGAUGCUGCACGUUUAGUAUUGACAAUGAUUGAUAUUCACUGAAACUAGAAAUUUCCAUUAUUCCAAUUUUCUAUUCUUAAUGAUAUAACUAUCCAAGAU